UAGGGAGGCGGGGUAGAGUCGCGCGCGUGGAUCUCGCCGUCGCAGUCCUCCGCUAGGAUGUAUCCAACGUCCACGCUCCUGCUGCGCGUAUAAACGGCAUUGUAUGUGCCAUUCUGUUUCUCGGGGUUCGGAUGGUAGCUACGCACGGUCCCUACACAAUUCAACCGGGAAAUCAACGCACACCAGCCAUGGCGCUGGUCAUGGAACCCAUCAGCAAAUGGUCCCCGAAGCAGGUGCUGGACUGGAUGAAAGGGUUGGAUGACUGUUUGCUGCAGUACAUGAGGACAUUUGAGAGAGAGCAUAUAACUGGAGAGCAGCUGCUUCACAUUACCCAUCAGGAGUUGGAAGAGCUUGGCGUGACCCGUAUCGGACACCAGGAGCUUAUUCUGGAGGCUGUGGACUUACUCUGUGCACUGAACUAUGGUCUAGAGACAGAGAAUUUACGGACUUUGUCACACAAACUCAAUGCAUCAGCUAAGAAUUUGCAGAAUUUCAUCACAGGUCGGCGCCGUGGGGGCCAUUAUGACGGACGGGUCUCACGGCGCCUUCCAAAUGACUUCUUGACUUCAGUUGUUGAUCUCAUUGGAGCAGCAAAAAAUCUGCUGGCAUGGCUGGACAGGUCUCCAUUUGUCAGUGUUUCUGAAUACUCAGUGCUGAAAAAUAACAUUGUUCAACUCUGUCUAGAGCUAACGACCAUAGUACAACAGGAUUGCACAGUGUAUGAAACUGAGAAUAAAAUUCUACAUGUGUGUAAGACUCUUUCAGGUAUCUGUGAGCACAUUAUUUCAUUGUCAUCCGAUUCGCUGGUGUCACAGUCAGCCCACCUAGAAGUUGUUCAUCUAACUAACGUUAUGCCUAGUGAGGGCCUAGGCAUGUACAUCAAGUCCACAUAUGACGGUCUUCAUGUGAUCACUGGAACCACAGAGAAUUCUCCUGCAGACCAGUGUAAGAAGAUCCAUGCCGGUGAUGAGGUCAUUCAGGUCAAUCACCAGACAGUGGUUGGCUGGCAAUUGAAGAACUUGGUCAAUUGUCUCCGUGAGGACCCGAGUGGAGUCAUUCUCACACUGAAGAAGAGACCGCAGAACACUCUGGGCUCCACCCCUGCACUGCUAAAGAAUGCCCGCUGGAAACCACUUGCCCUGCAGCCACUGUCCACCAGUCCUUGCAGUGGUUCACCUACUCCACCCAGCACGCUAGGGUCAGUGGGACUCUCACCUGGAGUGGACACACAUGGAGGACAUGAUGUCUUUAUACUGUCCCCUGUCUAUGGACACAGAGAGGAGGAUCUGGAUCGGGGUGGGUUUGGUGUGUUUGGUUCUGAUUCUCCGGGGUAUUAUGUUGAACAGGAGGUACUCGGAGGGCAGUAUUUCCCUCUCCUGGAGGAGGAUUCUGGAAGAAAUACGGGACUGCGACGCAGAGACCGGACCCCAACUCACAGUGACCCCCGGCAGGUUUCAAUGGGAACUGAGUGGCUGGCAGAACCUCAAGAAUCUGGAGUUUACAAAAGAGGAAGCAGAGAUUCGGACUCCUCCCUUUUGCGGUUCCUCAGUGAUGACAGAAUUCUGCUCAUCCAGGAAGAGGCAGAGUUUUCCCAUCGUGACACAAGCAGGCGAUCAAGGAAGAAGAGCCGAAAUCCCAGCAGCACUAGUUUUCCCAUCAGUCCCUCUAUGCUUGCCCCACCAGUGCGUCUGGACACAGGUCCCCCCGAGGUGCUGCCCUUCCCUGUGCCUGACUCAAACACGAUGCCACACUACCAUAGAACUGCAGACACACUCAGAGCAGAUGCUGAUAGGUAUGGUAGUUCAGGACUUGACCGACAAGCAGGGGCAUCAAUGAGGAAGUCCAUGCACUAUGCCUCUCUGAGGACCAAGCCCAAGAAAAAAAGCAAAGGCUCCCUAAGUAGUGCCAGCAGGAGGCGUAUUGCAUGCAAAGAUUUGGGUCAUGGCGACUGUGAAGGCUGGUUAUGGAAAAAGAAAGACGCCACUGGCUACUUCACACAGAAAUGGAAGAAGUACUGGUUCGUUCUCAAAGACUCCAACCUGUACUGGUACACCAACCAAAAUGAUGAGAAAGCAGAGGGCUUCAUCAGUCUGCCAGAAUUUCGGAUAGACAGAGCAAUUGAGUGCAGGAGGAAACAUGCCUUCAAAGCAUGUCAUCCCAAAAUUAAAAGUUUCUUUUUUGCUACUGAUCAUUUGGAAGAGAUGAACAGGUGGAUGAAUCGGUUAGGACUGGCUGCGAUUGGAUACACACCUGAUGAUCCAAUACCACGUCCAGAUGAAGAUUACUGGAGUGAGAGUGACCAGGAUGAGGUGGAUGGGUCCAUGACUCUCAAACAGGAAGCCACGUACCACCACAACCCCUCUGCGCCUUCGACUAGUCCGUUUCCUGAGCGUCAUUUCUCCAGCGGCUCCACAUUUUCGCAUUCCUCUGCUGAGGAGUCACAUUCUUCUUGCCGAUCCUCUCAUCGAGAGCGUCGCUCGUGGCAGGACCUAAUUGAAACUCCCCUGACCAGCACUGGCCUACACUACCUGCAGACAGCGGAAGAGGAGGCACCUGUUCUGCUUUCACAUGACCAGCACCGGCAGGCCACACUCCCUGCCCAGCGCCGCUUUCCUCUGGAACGUGACGGACCAUUUCCGUUGACUGACAGUGAGGAGUCCCGUCCCCGCCAUCACACCCACAAACAGCGCAGCCAGAGCCUCCCACGCCACCGCGAGUCACACGGGGGACACUCACACCGCAGCUCUCACUCACAUGCACAUGUGCACACACAUGGCACUCUAAGGCCAAGAACUCAUCUCCAUGAUGAAGAGGAGGAAGAGGAGGUGGAAAAGGAGGUGCGGAAACCCAGCAGCAGGAGACCUGAGAUUGAAGAAAAAGUGGCCGAUGACACGGAUGGUCUGCAGGAGUUAUACCGAUCGCUGGAGCAGGCCAGCCUCUCCGCUUUCGGCCAGCAAAGACCAUCCACCAAACAAGAGUUCAGACGCUCCUUCAUCAAACGCAGUAAUGACCCUACCACCAAUGAACGACUGCACCGCAUCCGGGUUCUCCGCUCCACACUGAAGGCAAAGGAGGGUGACUUGGCGAUAAUCAGCCAGGUGCUGGAUGAACCUUGUUUGACCUCACGGAAGUUCCGUGAAUGGAAGCAACGUAACCACGAGCUCUUCCUGGAUAUCUGUGAGUUUAGCUCCGCCCCUCUGGAACCGGCCAGUGAUUCCAAUGAACUUUCACCUCUCUCACCAUCGCUGAUGAUGCACACUCACUCUUUCAUAGAAACGCAUGUGUGAAACACACUGUCAUGCACACAUUGAACUAAAAAUCACAUGCUAAUAUACAGACAUGAAGAUAUAACAAAUAACUUGAAUUGUGUGUUGCAAACUCACAUACACAUUUUAACAUUUACACACACAUACACUCUAUGAAAAACACUGUGUAUGUAGACUGUCCUCACUUUCCCUCAAUGGAGGAUCUGAUACUGCCCUCCUCCUGAUCAUGAGUGACAUCAGAUUGAACCAAUACACUGUAAGACGAAUCUCAAAGAACUGACCCAGCCUCCAAAACUAAGACCGUAGGUUCGUCACUGUCCUGCGGUCAUUUGUGCUGACUUGACACUGAGAGAUGACUCAUAAACUGCUCCUCAGACACACCAUGGAAGUGUCACAGCAGAGAGAAAAGUGUUAGCUGCACAUAUACGGCUCAUUGCAGAAUCUGUACAAUAUGUUUCAUCAUGGGCACAAUUUGGGACGUUUGGAAGAAAGGCCCCCUGAGGUGCCCUAGUGCAUGCCUGAAGAAUCAUAUUUUCAGAUGAAUUGACAACCAGUUGAACAGAAUAGAAUGGAAGAGCACUCAUGUAGCCAUGGGCAACAGGCUUCACUCUGUUACCAAGCAACACCGCCCUACUGUGUUACUCUAUACAACUCUCAAAGCAAGCAAGAGUGUUGGAAAGUGAAUGUGUAUGUGUGCAUGUGUGUACUUGUGAGUAUGUGUGUAUUAGAGAUGAGUGAUAGACAGAAAGCGAGUGAGACAGAUUCUUUGAGAGUUUUAUGACAUACGAGUUUAGAUAUAAGAAAAGUUGAACUACUGGCAGGUAGUAAAGUGUUUAUUACGGCUUCAUUAGAAUAAUUAUAUUAUAGCUAAAAAUCUCAUGCAUGGUUUAAAAAAUAAUACUAUAUGCUAUCAGGCCAGAGAACAGUCUGUAUAUAAGAACAUAUUAUUUGCAUAGCUGCAUCCUCUGUUUAAAACUGUGAAUUGUACUUGUGAAUGCAAUCUUUUGACUCUGCAAAUGCAGAAACUUUCUACUCUCUAUUUUUUUCUACAAAAAAAAAAACAAACAAACAAAAAAGGACAACAAAAGAUGAAAAGCUUUGCUUCUCUGAUGUUAUGACUGUUUUUGCUUGUUUCCGGGUCUUUGCUGGUCAUUACCUCUAAGCUAUGGGCUUCAUUCAGGUUGCUAGUUUUUAGUUUUCUGAUGUAUGCAUCUCUUAGACAAACUCCAUGAGCCAAAAACUAUAGUUUUGUUAUCCCAUUUACAAUUCUAGAGAUCAGUGGCCCAGGAUUCCAGAAUUACAAAGCAAGUGGCAGAGAAUUUGAGAUGCCCAAAUAAAUCAACAAAUCAAUUGAUUAAUUCCUGGCUGUGGAGUGCCAAACAUCCCCUUGCUCAAUGUUUUGUGUGUGUAUUUUCAUUUGUCCCCAUUAAAAUGUCAUUGAGACAUUUGUUUUCGCACAGCCCUGCAUAUGAGCUCAAUGUUACAAUUGUUUGAUUGUCACUUUUUUAUAAUCUUGUGGGAUGUAUUUUAAUUGAAUAGAAUGUAAUCAUUCAAUGGCUUGUUUAUUGUAUAUCUCAUUGGAAUAGUCAGACACACACACUCACUACCCAAACACAAUGGUUUCAUGUCCUUAGUCGAUGAUUUCUUACCAAAGCGACUUUCGGAAACACAUCUGCCCACUAAAGUUACUGUUUUGAUUAUUUUGUUUAUGUUGAAUGUUUGUUAGCUGUGUACAUUAAUUCCAUGGUGUGUGAGUAUGUGUGUGUGUUGCAUGUGUGCGUGUUAUCCAGGCCAUCAGGGUUUCACUGUGGUUUUAAG